GGGCUGCCGAAGGUCUGUCUCCUAGCCUUCGGGCCAGUGCCCGCCGAUCCUCCGGGAGCCAGGUCCGCGAUCUCCGGCGCCCGCCGUGGGCUCGAGAAAGCGCACAGCGCACUACUUGUCGCGGAGGGAUCCGGCCCCUGAGUUACCUGUUCUCCACUCGGAGCUGACCUCGGCCCAAGGGCCCGCAAGUCCGCCUCACCGAGAAGUAAUACAGGUUCGGAUCCGCGCCGCCGACCUCACAAUGGCGCGGGCGUCCAGCCACUGUCACGCAGCAUCCGGUGCGAUUAUUCGCCCAGAGCUUCACUGCUUAGGGGACCGCGGCGAGGCCCUUCUCCCUCUCGCUCAUUCAGAAGACGAGAAGGUCCCCGCACGACACAACCACGCUGUUUUAACAAUACCCAACUCUGCUCUUCCAAACUGCACACACUUAAAGGUGACAUGGCCACAGACUGUGGGUUGCAAUACUACGUUGCAAUUCUGCACUAGUUAUUUGAAAGCUUUCUUACAGUACUACAGCGAAACGACCGGUUACAAACCUUUCAUUUUCGUUCGAACACGGUACUCUUUAACCAAUGGAUAUUCUAUGAAUACUUGUAUUCAGUAUCUCUAGAUUUUUAAAAAACCAAAUGUAAAGACAUUACCAAAUAAGUGGUUCAUCAGUGAAAUAAUUUUGUUUUGCCUUUAAAUUUUAGCCUUUUUGGAAGGCACAUUAUUUGCAGUAUACACAGAUAUAAAUUUUGUACAUUAAAAUAGCCUGUAUAGCCUUUUUGUCGUUCUUUCAUGAAGCCCCUCCCACUCUGGAGGUUCUUUCACUUCUAUUAAUUUUAAGUCUGGUUAAAAAAAUAGUGCUUGAGGCCAGCCUGGUCUACAGAGUUAAAGCCAGGACAGCCAGGGUUAAAAGAGAAACCCUGUCUCAAAAAAAACAGAAAAAAAAGUACUUAAAUUAAACAUAAAAACAAUUAGCAUUUACAUUUGAAGAAUGCCUUUUCAUGUUUAUUACCAUGUACAUUACUAGGAACCAGAAGUCCAACCUUGUAAAAAAUUAAAAUUCAACAAGACAGGCCUUUAUUGUGAGGUUACUGUCUUUUCAUUAUAACUCAUUUUUUACAGCCAGCUAAUUUUCCAGAGGGAAUUACUGUUCCUAUCUUUAGUCAAUUUGGUUAAGAAUUCUCUGCCUUUAAAUAUAUAAAAAUGUGUAUGAUUUUAUUUUUCUGUGAGAGCAUGAAGGUUAGAGGACAACUUGUGGGCAUGCUAUUCUUUUACCUAGGAAUGGAACACAUUUCCACCCUGUGACAGGGUCUCAAGUAGCCUUAGAUAGCCUGGAACUCACCUGUAUAGAUCACAUUGACUGAAAUUUCGGAGAUUCCUCUGCCCCUCUAUUCUUGGGACUAAAGGUGUACAACACUGCCACCAGCAUGUCUUCAUA
rnacentral:lncRNA from 1 species